rnacentral:rRNA from 1 species
UGGGGAAUAUUGCACAAUGGGCGCAAGCCUGAUGCAGCCAUGCCGCGUGUGUGAAGAAGGCCUUCGGGUUGUAAAGCACUUUCAGCGGGGAGGAAGGCGAUAAGGUUAAUAACCUCAUCGAUUGACGUUACCCGCAGAAGAAGCACCGGCUAACUCCGUGCCAGCAGCCGCGGUAAUACGGAGGGUGCAAGCGUUAAUCGGAAUUACUGGGCGUAAAGCGCACGCAGGCGGUUGAUUGAGUCAGAUGUGAAAUCCCCGGGCUUAACCCGGGAAGUGCAUCUGAUACUGGUCAGCUAGAGUCUUGUAGAGGGGGGUAGAAUUCCAUGUGUAGCGGUGAAAUGCGUAGAGAUGUGGAGGAAUACCGGUGGCGAAGGCGGCCCCCUGGACAAAGACUGACGCUCAGGUGCGAAAGCGUGGGGAGCAAACAGG